UUGCAAUUCACAUUCUCUCCAACUCUCCCUUCCUCCAGACAACAAGAAAUAUGAUAUAGGUUCUAUCUGUGCUAUUGUGCAAUCAAUAUUUCCAUGUUCCUCAUAUUGUGAAAGAGACACAUAUUGCUUACACUAGAGAAGAACUCAUUAAGCAAAGAAUGUAUGCUUCAAUCCACACCUAGACUCCAUCUGCUCCUUCUCUGGUGGUGGAUAGCCUUGUUCAUCAUGAGACCCUUGGAGAUGACCUGGAUCCUUGCCUUUUGAUAACACACAAGAGUAUUCUGCUACAAUCUUAUGCCACAUUUCAGUUGGAUAUUAAAUGAUGGGCAGAAAUUCAACGUGGGAAGAGAGCGAAGGAAGGAGAGAGGGCAUUCUAGGCAGAGUGAAAAAUGUGAACAAAGGCUCACUGAGGGGAAGCAUGCAGAAUUCAGAGGGAUAUGGAGAAUAUGGAGCAAACCUAGGACCUCAUUCAACAAAAGAGAGUGUCAUUGGAUUUGGUAUCAAAGAAAUGGGUUCUAGUCCUGGGUCUGAGCUAUCUCUUACCCUGGAGAUCUGCAUUCUAUGAUCCUUGAACACCUGGGAAAAACCAUCUGGAAACUACUCCUCUACCUCCAACUCAUACACUGACCCACCAUCAAUAAAGAAAUCCUUGCCUGAGGGCCC
rnacentral:lncRNA from 1 species